rnacentral:rRNA from 1 species
CCUANGGGAGGCAGCAGUGGGGAAUCUUGCGCAAUGGGCGAAAGCCUGACGCAGCAACGCCGCGUGCGGGAUGAAGGCCCUAGGGUUGUAAACCGCUUUCAGUAGGAACGAAAAUGACGGUACCUGCAGAAGAAGGUGCGGCCAACUACGUGCCAGCAGCCGCGGUGACACGUAGGCACCAAGCGUUGUCCGGAUUUAUUGGGCGUAAAGAGCUCGUAGGCGGUUGAGUAAGUCGGGUGUGAAAACUCUGGGCUUAACCCAGAGCCGCCACUCGAUACUGCUGUGACUUGAGUUCGGUAGGGGAGCAGGGAAUUCGUAGUGUAGCGGUGAAAUGCGCAGAUAUUAGGAGGAACACCGGUGGCGAAGGCGCUGCUCUGGGCCGAUACUGACGCUGAGGAGCGAAAGCGUGGGUAGCAAACAGGAUUAGAUACCCUANUANUC